GCUAAUACAUGCAAGUCGAGCGAACAGACAAGGAGCUUGCUCCUUUGACGUUAGCGGCGGACGGGUGAGUAACACGUGGGUAACCUACCUAUAAGACUGGGAUAACUUCGGGAAACCGGAGCUAAUACCGGAUAAUAUUUCGAACCGCAUGGUUCGAUAGUGAAAGAUGGUUUUGCUAUCACUUAUAGAUGGACCCGCGCCGUAUUAGCUAGUUGGUAAGGUAACGGCUUACCAAGGCGACGAUACGUAGCCGACCUGAGAGGGUGAUCGGCCACACUGGAACUGAGACACGGUCCAGACUCCUACGGGAGGCAGCAGUAGGGAAUCUUCCGCAAUGGGCGAAAGCCUGACGGAGCAACGCCGCGUGAGUGAUGAAGGUCUUCGGAUCGUAAAACUCUGUUAUUAGGGAAGAACAUACGUGUAAGUAACUAUGCACGUCUUGACGGUACCUAAUCAGAAAGCCACGGCUAACUACGUGCCAGCAGCGGGGGGUA
rnacentral:rRNA from 1 species